rnacentral:rRNA from 1 species
UACGUAGAGAGCAAGCGUUGUCCGGAAUCAUUGGGCGUAAAGGGUACGCAGGCGGUCUAUUAAGUCAGAGGUGAAAUCCAACAGCUCAACUGUUGAACUGCCUUUGAUACUGGUAGACUUGAGGAUAAGAGAAGAAAACGGAAUUCCUAGUGUAGCGGUGAAAUGCGUAGAUAUUAGGAAGAAUACCGAUGGCGAAAGCAGUUUUCAACUUAUUCCUGACGCUCAGGUACGAAAGCUAGGGUAGCAAACGGGAUUAGAUACCCGUGUAGU